rnacentral:tRNA from 1 species
GCGCCGGUGGUGUAAAUAGAAACAUCCUGCCCGGAAAGCAGAUUGUGCGGGUUCGAGUCCCACCUGGCGCG